rnacentral:misc_RNA from 1 species
GGUUUGGAUUAGUGUAGUCCCUGGAUCAACAAAAAGUGCAGUUGCCAGAAAUUAGGAAAACAGUGAUGCCCAACAGAGAGAGAGAGGAGAUUCCAGGAAACGAAACAGGAAAAAAAGACAGAUGAAAUCCCAAUAUAGAGGGUGAACAGAACUAACAACAAUAUCAGGUACUAGAGAAAGAGAAACGAAUCUGUAAAAACAGUAAGUGGACAUUGUACAUAAGAAGGUAUAAAAGGUCUCAGGCAGCUGAAAGAAACAGACAUCAGGAAUACCUGCUCCGAUGGCUCUGGAAUUU